GACCAAGGGUUCCUGUCCAACGUUAAUCGGGGCAGGGUGAGUCGACCCCUAAGGCGAGGCCGAAAGGCGUAGUCGAUGGGAAACAGGUUAAUAUUCCUGUACUUGGUGUUACUGCGAAGGGGGGACGGAGAAGGCUAUGUUGGCCGGGCGACGGUUGUCCCGGUUUAAGCGUGUAGGCUGGUUUUCCAGGCAAAUCCGGAAAACCAAGGCUGAGGCGUGAUGACGAGGCACUACGGUGCUGAAGCGACAAAUGCCCUGCUUCCAGGAAAAGCCUCUAAGCAUCAGGUAACAUCAAAUCGUACCCCAAACCGACACAGGUGGUCAGGUAGAGAAUACCAAGGCGCUUGAGAGAACUCGGGUGAAGGAACUAGGCAAAAUGGUGCCGUAACUUCGGGAGAAGGCACGCUGAUAUGUAGGUGAAGCGACUUGCUCGUGGAGCUGAAAUCA
rnacentral:rRNA from 1 species